rnacentral:rRNA from 1 species
CUCCGGUUGCCGUCGAGGGACCCGACUGCUAUCAGAGUGGGACUGAGCCCUCUGAGUCGACGUAGCAAUGCGUGGCGAACGGCUCAGUAACACGUAGUCAACAUGCCCAGGGGACGUGGAUAACCUCGGGAAACUGAGAAUAAACCACGAUAGGUCACGAUUUCUGGAAUGGAUCAUGGCCUAAAUCUACAUGGCCCCUGGAUUGGACUGCGGCCGAUCAGGCUGUUGGUGAGGUAAUGGCCCACCAAACCUAUAACCGGUACGGGCUCUGAGAGGAGAAGCCCGGAGAUGGGCACUGAGACAAGGGCCCAGGCCCUAUGGGGCGCAGCAGGCGCGAAACCUCUGCAAUAGGCGAAAGCCUGACAGGGUUACUCUGAGUGAUUUCCGCUAAGGGGAUCUUUUGGCACCUCUAAAAAUGGUGCAGAAUAAGGGGUGGGCAAGUCUGGUGUCAGCCGCCGCGGUAAUACCAGCACCCCGAGUGGUCGGGACGACUAUUGGGCCUAAAGCAUCCGUAGCCGGUUCUGCAAGUCUUCCGUUAAAUCCAGCCGCUCAACGGAUGGGCCGCGGAGGAUACUACAGGACUAGGAGGCGGGAGAGGCAAGCGGUACUCAGUGGGUAGGGGUAAAAUCCUUUGAUCCAUUGAAGACCACCAGUGGCGAAGGCGGCUUGCCAGAACGCGCUCGACGGUGAGGGAUGAAAGCUGGGGGAGCAAACCGGAUUAGAUACCCGGGUAGUCCCAGCUGUAAACGAUGCAGACUCGGUGAUGGGCUAGCCUUGUGCCAGCCCAGUGCCGCAGGGAAGCCGUUAAGUCUGCCGCCUGGGGCGUACGGUCGCAAGACUGAAACUUAAAGCAAAGAGGGGGGGAGCA